UGGCUUAGAUGGUAAAGCGUCUGUCUGCAAUGCGGGAGACCCAGGUUCAAUCCCUGG
rnacentral:tRNA from 1 species